CCUACGGGAGGCAGCAGUGGGGAAUAUUGGACAAUGGGCGCAAGCCUGAUCCAGCCAUGCCGCGUGAGUGAUGAAGGCCCUAGGGUUGUAAAGCUCUUUCAACGGUGAAGAUAAUGACGGUAACCGUAGAAGAAGCCCCGGCUAACUUCGUGCCAGCAGCCGCGGUAAUACGAAGGGGGCUAGCGUUGUUCGGAAUUACUGGGCGUAAAGCGCACGUAGGCGGAUCGAUCAGUUAGGGGUGAAAUCCCGGGGCUCAACCCCGGAACUGCCUCUAAUACUGUCGAUCUCGAGUUCGAGAGAGGUGAGUGGAAUUCCGAGUGUAGAGGUGAAAUUCGUAGAUAUUCGGAGGAACACCAGUGGCGAAGGCGGCUCACUGGCUCGAUACUGACGCUGAGGUGCGAAAGCGUGGGGAGCAAACAGGAUUAGAUACCCCAGUAGUC
rnacentral:rRNA from 1 species